AUGCAGUCGACGGGCUCUUCGGAGCAAGUGGCGGACGGGUGAGUAACGCGUGAGAAUGUGCCUUCAGGAUGGGGAUAACAAUAGGAAACUAAUGCUAAGACCCAAUGUGCCUUAAGUGGUGAAAAAUGAAAAUUGCCUGAAGAGGAGCUCGCGUCUGAUUAGCUAGUUGGGGUGGUAAAAGCGCACCAAGGCAACGAUCAGUAGCUGGUCUGAGAGGAUGAGCAGCCACACUGGGACUGAGACACGGCCCAGACUCCUACGGGAGGCAGCAGUGGGUAAUUUUCCGCAAUGGGCGAAAGCCUGACGGAGCAAUACCGCGUGAGGGAGGAAGGCUCUUGGGUUGUAAACCUCAAAACUUAGGGAAGAAAAAAAUGACGGUACCUAAUUUAAGCAUCGGCUAACUCCGUG
rnacentral:rRNA from 1 species